GAUAGUUAAGAAUGUUACUAUAGGUCUUUCAAUAAAUUUUGCUUUUAAGGGAAGUUACUAUUUAUUCCUAAUUAAAUGGGGAGACAAGUCUUUCCAGAGGAACUUCUACUUUACUUUUUACAAUUCCUCCUCUUAUUUCAUAAUUCUUCUUCAAACUUGUUUAAUAUGUUUUGACUUAAUUGCUUUGUUUGUCCUUUUAAGAGAAGUAAUUUUUCUGAAUAAGGUGGAGGAGAGUUAGGAGUUAACUCUGUAAGCAUGGCAGAGACAGGUUUUUGUGUAAAACUUCGACGGUAGGGAAUAAUAUAACAGCCUACAAGAAUAAGUACACCAAUAACAACAGCAAAUGAGCUGUUCGUGGCAGUACAUUGCGGAGCAUAGAACGAAACCGGGUGUGGAACACUGAGUCCCAAGGAUAGCCAUCUUCAGAGAUACGGCUCAUGACCCAGGUACAUGGUAAGCAGAGAGCAUCACACCUGAGCAGCAUUCUUACUCAGCUCAACAGCAAUAUCUGAGCCUGAGUUUCCCAUUCCAAUCACCAGGAUGCGUUUUCCCUCAAAUCCAUCUGGAUGCUUGUAUUGGCGGCUAUGGAAAUAUUGGCCUUUGAACCUCUCCAUACCUUCAGGGGGAAGAAGAGAGAAGUCUGUGAGCUCCAGAGCAACUAUGUCAAGCUAAUUUCAAUAAAACUGCAUUGCCAGCUUUUCCUUUCUGGAGUUAAUAA
rnacentral:lncRNA from 10 species